rnacentral:rRNA from 1 species
GAUGAACGCUGGCGGCGUGCCUAACACAUGCAAGUCGAACGGUAACGGGCCUUCGGGUGCCGACGAGUGGCGAACGGGUGAGUAAUGCAUCGGAACGUACCUUUCAGUGGGGGAUAACGUAGCGAAAGUUACGCUAAUACCGCAUAUUCUGUGAGCAGGAAAGCAGGGGAUCGCAAGACCUUGCGCUGAUUGAGCGGCCGAUGUCAGAUUAGCUAGUUGGUGAGGUAAAGGCUCACCAAGGCGACGAUCUGUAGCGGGUCUGAGAGGAUGAUCCGCCACACUGGGACGGAGCCACGGCCCAGACUCCUACGAGAGGCAGCAGUGGGGAAUUUUGGACAAUGGGGGCAACCCUAAUCCAGCCAUGCCGCGUGAGUGAAGAAGGCCUUCGAGUUGUAAAGCUCUUUCGGCCGGGAAGAAAUCGCACAGGCUAAUACCUUGUGUGGAUGACGGUACCGGAAUAAGAAGCACCGGCUAACUACGUGCCAGCCGCCGCCGUAACAC